rnacentral:rRNA from 1 species
UACGAAGGGGGCUAGCGUUGUUCGGAAUCACUGGGCGUAAAGCGCUCGUAGGCGGAUCUUUAAGUCAGGGGUGAAAUCCCGAGGCUCAACCUCGGAACUGCCUUUGAUACUGGGGAUCUCGAGUCCGGGAGAGGUGAGUGGGAACUGCGAGUGUAGAGGUGAAAUUCGUAGAUAUUCGCAAGAACACCAGUGGCGAAGGCGGCUCACUGGUCCGGUACUGACGCUGAGGUGCGAAAGCGUGGGGAGCAAACAGGG